rnacentral:rRNA from 1 species
UACGGAGGGUGCAAGCGUUGUCCGGAAUCACUGGGCGUAAAGGGCGCGUAGGCGGCUCAUGAAGGCUGUGGUGAAAGUCCGGGGCUCAACCUCGGAUCGGCCGUGGCGACUCGUGGGCUGGAGCACUGUAGAGGCGGGUGGAAUUCCGGGUGUAGCGGUGGAAUGCGUAGAUAUCAGGAAGAACACCCGUGGCUAAGGCGGCUCUCUAGUACGGUACUGACGCUGAGACGCGAAAGCGUGGGGAGCGAACAGG